CAUCAGACCUCUAAUCGGAAAAGACUACCCGCUGAGUUWAAGCAUAUCAAUAG
rnacentral:rRNA from 1 species